rnacentral:RNase_P_RNA from 1 species
UGGUGGAAGCGGGCGGUCGCCUGAUGCGCUGCAAGGUGCAGGGGGAGGAAAGUCCGGACUCCGCAGGGCAGGAUGUCCCGGUGUAGUGCUGGGAGGUUUCCCGUUGAAGCGGGAGAGAUGGAAAGUGCCACAGAAAAUAAACCGUCCUGCGUAAGCGGGAUAAGGGUGAAAAGGUGGUGUAAGAGACCACCGGGCCUGGCCGUAAGGCCGGUUGCAUGGCAAACCCCAUCCGGAGCAAGAUCAAAUAGGGGACGUCAGAGGCUGCCCGUCUCGUGGUUCGCAUCGCGGAUCGGCGUUCCGGGUUGAUUGCAUUAGAUAAAUGACCGUACCUCCGGUGUAUGCCGGGGGGAUAACAGAAUCCGGCUUAUGGCUUUCACCAGUCA